GGAAGGUGGGCCGCCGCGGGAGCUGGAGAGCCCUGGUCUGAGAAGAGAGGGCCUGGGGAAGACCUCUGUUCUUCAAAAGGCGAUCUCCCAGCCCUUUAGGUGAAAUAUAAGGAAAAAGAAUACAGAUGAACAUGGCAAGUGAGG